AACAGAGCUGCAGACCAACAAAUGAAGCUAAGCGAGGGCAAUUUGACCAACGUCUUCUGUGUCAGCUCCCUAGCACUCCAAUCAUGUUAUCGGGUCUCCAAGAUAAGAAGCUUGGAAAACUGCCAGCUUCCUGCCUGAAGACUGAAAUAGGAUGGGCAGAGAAGGGUAUUGGUGUCGACAUUUAAGGAUGCUGUCAAGUCAAUGGAGUUCUCUUGUAGUGGUUGCUUCAGUGAACAUUCAACGCUGUCGGCCUUACCACCGAAGAUAACAACCUACCCAGCACACGAGGCCUCCCCCUCACCUUGCCAAGCUUUACACAAAAGGUCACAAUCAACAUUCAUUGCUGUCGGUGGGUUUAACUAUGUGGACAAGCUCACUGAACAAUGAAUGCAACUGUGGCCCCACAUUUUACAGUUGCCGAUAAGAGGAACAUCAUCUCUGAGAGCCAUAGCGAGAAGCACGUUCUUAUAGCUUGGUAUUUUCUGGUUGAAAAGUAGUUGAGAAUGUUCACUUUUUUUGUCUAUUGUUUUUAAGGGUGCUUAAGUCAGGCGGCUGGGGAAUAGGGGAUGAAAAAAGCUGCCUUUUUCUGAAGCAGUGUCGUCCCCAGAGCUCAGGCUCGUCAAGCCACCAGAAUGUACAAGCAGUAUGUAUGUGGAAAUCAAUGCUAUCGGGGGAAUUGUUUGUGUACCUGCAUUCCUGAGGACUCUGAAUACAGGAAGGAAAGAUAUUUAACAUCAUCUUAGCUUAGUAUAUAUAAGCUUAGUAUACAAACUCCGCUGUCUUGUCAAGAUAAACGUACCAACAGGAGACAAUUCAAAGAUAUAGAUAAAAUAUUAUAGCAGAAAAAGCAGAAAAAGGAUUGG